GGCUGGCAAGGUGCUCCCUGGGUUC
rnacentral:piRNA from 1 species